GAUGAACGCUAGCGACAGGCCUAACACAUGCAAGUCGAGGGGCAGCACAAGGUAGCAAUACUGAGGUGGCGACCGGCGCACGGGUGAGUAACGCGUAUGCAACCUGCCUGUAACAGGGGGAUAGCCUCUUGAAAGAGAGAUUAAUACCGCAUAAUACAGCUGAACGGCAUCGUUCGGCUUUUAAACAUUUAUGGGUUACAGAUGGGCAUGCGUUUCAUUAGGUAGUUGGUGAGGUUAACGGCUCACCAAGCCGACGAUGAAUAGGGGUUCUGAGAGGAAGGUCCCCCAUACUGGUACUGAGACACGGACCAGACUCCGUACGGGAGCAGCAGUGAGGAAUAUUGGUCAAUGGAACGCAAGUCUGAACCAGCCAAGUCGCGUGAAGGAUGAAGGUAUUAUGUAUUGUAAACUUCUUUAAUCAGGGAAUAAUGACCGCUACGUGUAGCGGGGAGGGGAUGUACCUGAUGAAUAAGCAAUCGGGCUAACUCCGU
rnacentral:rRNA from 1 species